GUUUUUAAGACAGAACAAAAGAAUUUUAUUUUCCAUUUUAAAUAUUUUUAGUUUUGAGGACUUGAAAACUUUCGAAAGCAGCUGCGAUUCGGCAAUAAUGUGUGUUGGCCGUAUUUUUUCAUCCAAAAGAUGUAUCCUAAUUCAAAAACUACGGAGAAAGCCAGCUGGCCAAAGGAAUCCAAUAAAUGAAAGUGGAAAGAGAAGAAAAUUGAACUCAAAACAUUUCUUCUUUACAUGUUGCUCGCUUUUAUCCGGCAUGCCAUUCAUGUGGCCGUCAAGCCACGCACAUGAUAGACAUUUGUCUACGAUGACCCACUACGAAUAUCCUUAUUUACAAUUCCAAUAUCCAGAUUCAGUUCACUACUGGUGUUAGGACCGGAUUUCCUGAAAUAGUUUUUCAUCAGUUCUGCGUUAAGCAAAGGCGAAGUUCAAGUAAUCAGAGCUAUGUUGGAAUCUAAGCCUCCUGGCAUGCAGAUCUGUGUGGCCAACCACCCAAAGAUUUGCUCUGUCCAUUUUCUCUUUUCUCUUUGUGAAAUUCGAUAAAAUUAGUGUCAAUUGAUGUCAUUAUAAUUAAGGAUUACUCAACUAAUGUACCGCUUGUCAUACUAUUGCAUACUGAAGAAAUUUAUUUUUGUUACACACCACCUGCUUUAAAAUGUAUUCAUUGAAGGAAAAGAGGCCACCAAGGAGAAGCAAUAGGCAUAACUAAAUGCUGCAAGCUCGUGAUGCCAUUAUAAAUAGUAUAAAAUUAGGAUUUUAGUUAAUUUCAUUAAAAGGUUUGUGGCCAUUUUUUUCCUACAAACGGCACAUUAAAAUAUUUUGAAAAUUUAAAAAACGAAAUUCAUUUAGAUCAUAGAAAAAUCUAAACGCAUCGUUGUAACUGCGAUUCCAAAUACGUAGAGGUUUUCAACAAAAAAAUUAAAGCCUGAAUUUAUGCCAACAUUCUUUUCAGAAUUAGGUAUAGGCAUAUAAUUAUUUCAAAAUAAAAAUAUUAAUAACUAAUUGAUAAAUAAUUUGAUUUUACAAUCUAUAAUAUCUGAUCAAAGUAUUUAUUAACAUUUAUGCGAUUUCUCAAGCUUUUUAGAAAUAGCAACUCCACUUAGAAGUAACUUUCUAUGAGCAUUUAAAAAUUGUUGAAUUCGACUAUCAGUAUAUUUUCCCAUUGUUUCUCCAUUUCUCCAGUCGUUUGUUCGACCCCACCUUCCUGUUUCAACUGCGUAAUUGAGGGGUGACAAGGGUAUAGGCUGAAUUUAAAUGUCUCCAACCUUCAGAAAGGAUUCCAGUAAAACCUUAAAAUAGCUUUUGAAGUAAUGCAAAUGUUCAGUUAAAAUGUCACAUGCCUAUUCUACAGUAACAAGUUAGUAAAAGCUGAUCUGAAUCAUUUGAUUGACUUUCUCCUUCACACUUUAAAAGAAAGGGGAAAAAAAAUCCGAAAAAAUCAGAGUUCAUGGAAUCGCAUUGCAUCAUUAAUGAAAGCAGGUUUCCAGACCAAGGCGCCUUUUGCUGCGCACACUGAGAAGAAUGAAAAUACUAAGAAACGCACAAGCAAAAAUACAGAAAAGUACUAAUUGCAUGACUUCAACUAAUUCAACAGUAUGCAAGAAUUUUUAACGAAUUAGUGAAAAAUUAUUAAAAUAUUUCAUCUUUCGUGUUUGUUUUUUUUAAUCUAAUGCUUUGAAUCUAAUAAAUCUUUAAAAUCUUCCAAAA